UACGGGGGGGGCAAGCGUUGUUCGGAAUACUGGGCGUAAAGCGUGCGCAGGCGGUGAUGUAAGACAGAUGUGAAAUCCCCGGGCUCAACCUGGGAACUGCAUUUGUGACUGCAUCGCUGGAGUGCGGCAGAGGGGGAUGGAAUUCCGCGUGUAGCAGUGAAAUGCGUAGAUAUCGGGAGGAACACCUGUGGCGAAAGCGGCUCUCUGGACCACAACUGACGCUGAGGCGCGAAAGCGUGGGGAGCAAACAGG
rnacentral:rRNA from 1 species